rfam:HIV-1 isolate VI850 from Democratic Republic of the Congo, complete genome.
GGACUCGGCUUGCUGAAGUGCAACACGGCAAGAGGCGAGAG